rnacentral:lncRNA from 1 species
UAUUAUAUUUUUUUCCAAAAAGUUUAAUUUUUACAAUUUUUUUCCUAUAAGUUUAAUUUUUGUGAAUAUCUAUGGAUUUUUGAAACUUUAAAAAAAAAAAAAAAUAUCCAAGAACCAAGCACUUACCCCACAUAAAAAAAUACAAUCCUACUGGCGCCCCUGAAUUCCUACCACCCAAGUAUUUAAUAAAUAAUGAAUAUAUAUCUAUUUAUUUUUUAAUUUAUGAAAAUUGAAUUUUUAACAAGUUAUUUUGACGCAACUAUUCUGAACAUUAAUAAUUCUCAAACUCAUUUUAUUGCCUACAUUCUUAAAAAUUAUGGAAAUCCAAGUUAUAUAUCUAUUACUUAGAGUUUCAAAACUUUUGACAGAAUUUUAGUAUGCAAAAUAAGUUAAUGGCUUAUUUUAUAUUUUAAAUAAAAAUGUAUGAGAUGACCUUUUUUUAAUGAAUUAAAAACAUAUAUUUGUUCAAUAACUUUUUCUUUAAUAAAAUACAUAAUUUAUCAUAAUAUUUUAUUUAUAAUAAGCCAAGAUCUAUGUAAAUAAUUACGUCUGAGCAAUUGAAAAGAAAAUUUUAGUUAUGAGAACGUCAACAUUGUUGAUGACUGCCAUUUUAGGAACCUAAGCCAGUGGCUACCAAAUUUGUUUGAGUUCGACCCUUAAAAUAUGUGGCUAGAUAAUAAUACCACGUGUUCCUGUUCCGUAUAUUUGGCUUUCGCUCUCUAUGACUUGAGUACCUACAGUGUUUUAAUAUAUAACUUGGUGUGUGAGCCCGCUUUUCCUUUAGCAAACAAAAUAUCCUCUAUUUAAUCCAAUCAAUACUAGUGUAGCUCUCAUUGGAUGCGCUUUCUUGUGUUGCUCUCAUUUGGAUUUUGUAAACGUUGGGGACUAUUAGACAUUUUUGAAAUCACCAUCAUAGCUGUUUACGAAAUCCAAACACAUUUUUAUAAGCUAGGCAUGCAUAUAUACUUACGGAGAAGAAAGUGCUGCAGCGAGCCAGGUAUAUUCAGCUAUAUACGUGGAUGCUUCACUUUAUGCCCUCAAAGACAGAACAUAGUGUGUACCUUGCUUAUUUUAAAGUACCUUUUGGAGACCAAGACAAGAAAUGGGUACCUCACUUAGUAUGCACGAAAUGUCUUGAAACUCUAAGAUCAUGGUUUCAAAGAGAAAAAUGAGAAGCUCAAAUUUGGUGUACCGAUGAUUUGGAGAGAAACAACAAAACACCUAGAUGAUUUCUAUUUCUGCCUUGUAAAUCUUAAAGGAUUCAGUAAAAAGAUCAAUCGAUGGAUGACAAUUCCUAGCAUCUCUUCUCCAAUACGCCCAUUUCCUCAUUCCGACAAAGUACCUGUGUACCUGUUAUUACCAAGUUAGCAGAUAUUGAUGAGGAAACACAUACUUCAGUCGAUGAAGAUGCAGAUGCAAAUUACACACCAUUAAGAUUUGAAUUUACCUAAACAAUCUUCUAAGUUGUUGGCUUCCAGACUACAAGAGUGUAACAUGCUUACUAUGGACACAAGUGUCACAUUUUAUCGUAACAGAGAUGCAGAACUGAGGAAGUUCUUUGAUUCUGAAAAUCACUUUGUAUACUGCAGUGACAUUGAAGGGCUUCUUGUGGCUGUGGGAUUACCUGCGUGUCAUUCCAGUGAGUGGAGACUCUUUAUUGAUAGCUCAAAAAAAAAGUUUAAAGUGUGUUUUAAUAAACACAAUGUUAACAUAUAUGGAUGUAUCCUAAUUGGAUACAAAAUAGUACUUGAACGAUUAAAAUACCACGAACACCGGUGAUUAUUCUUUGUGGAUUUAAAAAUGGUGAACUUACUUCUAGGUCAACAAAGAGGUAAUACACAAUAACCUGAUUUCCUUUGCUACGGGGAUAGUAGAGCUGCCAAGGAUCACUGGGUUAGACUGGAAUAAAAUAAAACCGUUAACCAACCUAUAGUGCAAAAGCCUCAUCAAAAAACCAACAACUAUUAAAACAUGGAAAUCAGUAGGCAAUAUGCAAAUAAAACUACUUAAUACAAAUAUAAUGCAUUAUUUUUUUCUCAUAAAUGAAGGUUUUUUGGUAUGUGUUGUAGUAUUUUUUCAUCACUCCGGUGUUCAAAAACUUGAGGAGAUAGGCAAAUAACCAAUGAUAGAUUUGGAGUCAGCAGGCAAAAUACAGCGAAGAAAUAAUCGAAUGUAUUGUAAAUAUAAAAUUAGGAAUAAAAGUACUACUUCGAAUUAUUUCUAAACUA